rnacentral:rRNA from 1 species
GGACUACCCGGGUAUCUAAUCCUGUUUGCUCCCCACGCUUUCGCGCCUCAGUGUCAGUAUUGGUCCAGGUAGUCGUCUUCACCACUGGCGUUCCUUCCGAUCUCUACGCAUUUCACCGCUACACCGGAAAUUCCACUACCCUCUACCAUACUCUAGUUAUGCAGUUUAGGAUGCACUUCCCAGGUUAAGCCCAGGGUUUUCACAUCCUACUUUCAUUACCACCUACGCGCCCUUUACGCCCAAUAAAUCCGAUUAACGCUCGCACCCUCUGUAUUACCGCGGCUGCUGGCAC